rnacentral:rRNA from 1 species
UUCGCAAUGCCCGAAAGGGUGACGAAGCGACGCCGCGUGUGGGAAGAAGGCCUUCGGGUUGUAAACCACUGUCGGGAGUUAAGAAAUGCAAGGAUAUUAAUAGUGUCUUUGUUUGACUAAGGCUCCGGAGGAAGCCACGGCUAACUCUGUGCCAGCAGCCGCGGUAAUACAGAGGCGGCAAGCGUUGUUCGGAAUUAUUGGGCGUAAAGAGCACGUAGGCGGCUAUGUAAGUCGGUUGUGAAAGCCUUCCGCUCAACGGAAGAACAGCAUCCGAUACUACAUGGCUUGAGUGCGGGAGGGGAGAGUGGAACUUCUGGUGGAGCGGUGAAGUGCGUAGAUAUCAGAAGGAACGCCGGCGGCGAAAGCGGCUCUCUGGCCCAUAACUGACGCUGAGUGUGCGAAAGCUAGGGGAGCAAACGGGAUUAGAUACCCCGGUAGUCCUAGCCGUAAACGAUGGGCACUAAGUAGAGGGGUUUU